rnacentral:rRNA from 1 species
UACGUAGGCAGCAAGCGUUGUUCGGAGUUACUGGGCGUAAAGAGUGUGUAGGCGGUUCUCUAAGUUUGGUGUGAAAUCUCCCGGCUCAACUGGGAGGGUGCGCCGGAAACUGGAGGGCUUGAGUAUGGGAGAGGAAAGCGGAAUUCCUGGUGUAGCGGUGAAAUGCGUAGAUAUCAGGAGGAACACCUGCGGUGUAGACAGCUUUCUGGACCAUCACUGACGCUGAGACACGAAAGCGUGGGUAGCAAACAGG